UCCUCCAUGGUCCAGUUGGCUAAAGGCGUCCGACUGUUAAUCGGGAAAUCCCUGGUCCGAGCCCAGGUGGAGGAG